UCUGCUGUUUAAAUUUUAAGACAGUUCCUAACUGGAUCAGAAUCCUCAACUAGCAGACCGAGGGAAACUCUGAAGAAAAACCAGGUCAUGCUGCAUGUUUUUGGUGAGCGCAGGAAUCAACAAAGAGAUGUUAUAUAACUUCUAUUUAUAUCCUCCUUGCUCACUAUCUGCAGGCAGACAAGAGUCUCUCUCUGUGCGGGGAUUUAAUGAGCUCUCUGGGUUUGCUCACCUUCCUGAGCUGGUAGGAACCAGCUUGUUCUCAAAUGCGUCAGUAAAGAAUCUGGCUGUGGGUAGGCGGCCAGGGUAGGUGGACUGAGUUGUUACCAUGGUGUUUUUAAUUCCCCUGUCUCUCAA
rnacentral:sRNA from 1 species